CUUCCCUCGGACCCGGGAGGGUACGCCGAAUCCUCCCCAGGGGACUGCCCCGUCUCCACACUCGGACCGCAGCUCUGGCUGCAGCCGGCCGAGGCAGAAUAAUCCCUCCUGGAGCGGGGGGAGGUGUCUCGGGGGCGGAGCCGGCGACCCCCGGACGUGCCCGGGACUACAUUUCCCAGGAUGCUAUGCGCUGGGCUUCGUUCGGCGCUGAAUAGAGACCCGAGAUUGAGCUCUUCGCUGACAAUUGGAAGUGGCUUGUAUCGCUUUGGAUCUGAUGGAUAAAGAAAGGAGCCAAUUGCCUCCAGAAGACUGUUCCCUUGGUCAUAAGAGAGAACGUCUGAAGGACCAUCCAAGCAAAAACUAAACCCUGGUAGGAAAAGGGUCUCAAGGAAGACAAGGCAUGGGGCCAAGGAAGACUGAGGGAGAUGGUGACCUGCUGAGGAGCCAGAGCAGCAGAAUCCCUGGGACUCACAGGCUGAGCAGCUUCAGAAUCUGCUCACUUGAUUUGCAUGCCUUCAACGUCUUCUCAAUGUCUUCUGUUGUGACUUUCUUCCCCGGCAAGCUUUCCAUCAAGGUCCGGAGCUGCUCGAAGGGCUAAUUAUACUUUCAAAGAAUACAUUUUAUUUGCCAAAAACAGAAGAAAACUUUACUCUGCACAAGUGAAAGUCAAAAAUCUUAAGUCUCCUAACAUAACAGGCCUCAGUUUCAGAUGUUUGAGGAAGUAUAGGACUCUUUGGUCAUCUAACUACAGGUAAAGAGCAGAUGGGUUUCUCACUUUGUCUGCAUUAUGAAAAUCUUCCUCCUCCUUUCUGGCAGGUGCUCCCAAUGCUAACUGAAGUCAGAACUCUUUCCACUGUAUACCCUAAAGCUUACAGUCCACACUGCAUGAAACUUCCUUUUCCCCUUGGAUUCUUUCCCAUCAUAACACACACACACACAUACACACACACAGUUUCUAAAGGAGACUUUU